GGCGGAAUAAAAUGGCGUUUGUAGCGGUCACACGUAAAUAAUUGUGUCUGUUCCUUACUGUUCCACAGUUUGACUCAGGGUUUUGGAAUUCACCGCUCCGUCAGCUGACUGAUCUGUCUAAUAUGCUGAACGGGCUGCGUUUGGAGGUGACAUCCAUUCAGGCUCACUUGCAUCUGCUGGUUGCCAUGGUGACCGUGACUCCCGCAGUGACAGCUCAGAGACCAUCCUGGAUAAACAUGGACUCCCUCGAGAGCGGGACAACCGGUCACGUUUUUGAGUUGGAGUGUUCUUCAGACAAGCUGAGAUCUCAGAACCAUCCAGGAAGAUUGCAGAGACUGAGAUAUGAUUUCAGAACUUCCAGAGAGACAGUUUCCAGUACUGGAUGGCGAGCCCAGCCUACAAGAUGCUGAACCUGUUUUUGGUAGUAGGACUGCUGUGACCUGAGGAACGCUUUCCACCAUCUACAUUGAGUGUGGUAGGACUGAACUGUACACACACAUACAGCUCUGGAGACAAAUAGUCUACUUAUCUCUCAUAUGAACUUUACUGUGGAGUGAAAUUGAGAGAAUAGUGAUCCUUACAAAUACUUUGAAAAAUCCUUAGGAGUUUUCUUUCAUUUGUUUCUUUAAACAAUUUAGAUUGUUUUCCUUUUUAUAUUGAUAUAUGUCAUUACGGGGCUGCACAGUGGCGUAGUGGUUAGCACUUUCGCCUUGCAGCGAGAAGAUCCCUGGUUCGCGUCCCGGCUUUCCCGGGAUCUUUCUGCAUGGAGUUUGCAUGUUCUCCCUGUGCAUGCGUGGGUUUUCUCCGGGUACUCCGGCUUCCUCCCACAGUCCAAAAAUAUGCUGAGGUUAAUUGAUUACUCUAAAUUGCCCGUAGGUGUGAAUGUGUGAGUGAUUGUUUGUCUAUAUAUGUAGCCCUGCGACAGACUGGCGACCUGUCCAGGGUGUCCCCUGCCUUCGCCCGAGUCAGCUGGGAUAGGCUCCAGCACCCCCCGCGACCCUAGUGAGGAAUAAGCGGUGUAUAGAUAAUGGAUGGAUGGAUAUGUCAUUACCUGAAUCUUGUCUGUCUAUUUUAAAUUACAGUUCAGUAUAUACAGUUAUCUAAAAUUCUGUCCUGUGUUUCUGUUACACUGUGAUUGUCCUCUGUCUUGGCUCCUGUCGUUCUUUAACUCUUCUGAAUCUGAUCCUCUUCUGCUAUUUACUUAACCCUAUACAUAGCAGUAGCAGGUACUGGUUCCAAUAGUAUUUGGUGUCAGUGACAACAUUUGUUAAAUUGUCAUAAGUCGCCUUUGUACUCAUUUUAUUUUAGAUUAGUCCUCCAGCCAGGCUUCUCUUGCAGGUGUUACAACUGUUAUUGCAUUUAGUUAUGACCAUGUAAACACAGAAUUUUUUGUCAACUUUCAGCAAGCAAAUUAAUCUCCAAAAACCUACAGAUGUUUUUUUCCUUAUUCCAUAUGUGGGCAAGUCGUGACUCGUGAACACAACACUGACAUAUCAUCAUCUCACUUUAAAGUUGAUUUGACCAUGUUAGCAAACAACUUGGUCUUCUUCAAAUCCAACCAGGGAUUAUGAGGCUCUGAAAAGUGCCAUCUGGUCCAGAUGAAAAUCACACCACUUUAUGAGAGUAGUAAAAAAGAACUGGAGCAUUAACGUUGUGGACCAAGCAGCCAAACAAUGAGAUGAAAUCCUCACUAAAGCUCUACAAACUCAAAGGGAUCUGCAGACACAGGUGAUAAUUUUCUGUAGGUCUGUCACUCUUUAACACCUUUCAUCUUGUCUCAUAGUCCUCAAAUUGUCAUUUGAUCCAUAGUAAAGUUUAACUACCCAAACCACAUACUUAAGAAAUCAUACAAACUACGUGUGUCCUCCCUGCCAUUGUUUUAUUCUUAAAAUCACCCGUGGUAACAGUGACACUUUUUCACCUGACAGCAGCUGGAAGGAAAGCAAAGAGUCAAAUAUUUCUGCUGCAUGCAGUUCCUGCCAUUAAAAGCUGACCAGAGCUGGCACAGAUUGUACAAGCACUGGAGUUUUUUGACAGAGUGCUAUGAGAAAGUCUGAACUGUAGCUCUGGUGGAUUAACCCUCGCUGUGAUAAUGAGUGUUGAUGGUAACCCAAAGACGAGGGAAUCCAGUGCUUUGACCAGCGGAUCAGCUCAGUAAUCUGUAAGACCAGGCAGAUAGUGACACACUUGGGUCGUAUCUUUUGAGAAACCUGAGACGGAAAGAGACAGCAAGCAUUUUGAGUUACGGGAGUUAGAACAGCGAAGGAGAGCCAGAAUGUUUUUGAAUGCUCAAAAUAGCCUCCACGGGAGAGGAAAAACAAACAGAUCUCUCUGACUUGCUUCUGUAGAGCUAUGACACACGAGGUUGCCUUCAAAGCUGCCUGAGUGUGCUGUGAGGCAGUUCCAGUGAAAAUAGAAAAGAUAACUGAGUGGAUCAUUUUACCAAAGCUACUGUAUGACAGCAUUGCAUUUUCCUUAUAACUUGAAGCAAACUAAGAGAGAUGUUAAGACUGAAACAGAUUACAUUGUAAGAUAUAUAAGUAACAUUUUCUUGUCAAAACCUGGUGCUUACAUUGCCACCAGUGCAGCUGAACUAUAUCUGAGUGGUUUGUUCAUCCUGGAGCUGCUAGCCUCAAGCAGAGAUGAGGAUCAGGCCACAGAGGUCUGGUAAGCUGUCUGCUUUCUGACUCCACACCUCGAGAUAUUUUUCAUUUUCAAACUUGUAGCCCCAGCGAUGCUCAGAUUUCACACGUUUCCCUCUGGAGCCUCUUUGUACAACAUUUUUCACGUAUGCAGCAGUACAACCCAACACCUGUAAACAGACUGAGGAAAGUGUGUUCACUUUAUGAUAUCAUGUAGCUUCAUCAGUGUGAGAAAAGAGUCACAGAACCAAUGUGAACAUAUCAGACAUGGUGCUAAUGUAUGUGAGAAUAUGUGCAUGUGUGAGUGCUGUAGUGUGUUAGUUUAUUUAUUCAUUAAAGAGAACACACAUUGGUUUGUGGAAGUGUGUUCAAUGAAUAAUUUCAGUACAGACAUUAACAGAACAUAACGUUAAGUGUGCUUUAGGAAUUGCCUACAUUUGCAAAACAUUGUUUAGCGGACACCAUAUGAAUGUCCAUCCAAAAUUCAAGCUGUUUUUGGUAUUUAGUAGCUAAAAUAGAGAUUUUGUUCUUUAAUAUUAGCAUAAAAUGUUUUUAUAUUUAAGAUAAGAUAAGAUCUACUUUAUUCAUCCUGGAGGAAAUUAUUUUGCCAGAGUACAAUAAACAAAGGUUAGUGGAUUAUACACAAUUACACAGAAGUUAGUAGUAAAAUAGAAAUAACAAAUAAUAUAAAGUACAAAUUGUAAGUUUCAAAAGUGUUUGUGUUAAGUGUCACAGUGUGUCAAGAGUCUUAAGUGUGUAAAAUGUUUUAAGUGUGUAUAGUGUCUUAAAUGUGUAAAGUGACUGUAUACUAAUACUAAGAACUAGAAAGAUUAACAAAAAGAACUGACGUAGAGUAAACAGAUCUAUUGCACCGAUGUAUUUCACUUGAGUCUACUAGGAAAGAGUCCGGUUAUAUUGCGCAUGGAAAAGUUUGUCCAUUGUGUAUCCCUUCUGCAGAAGUUGGAGGAAUUGUGAAGUCUGAUUGCCUCAGGGAUGAAGGACCUCCUGCAGUGUUCUGUGGUGCACCUCGGUGAUCGCUUUAUCGUGUUUCAUCAGUUAUGAUGCUGUUGUUACCGGUCAGGUGCACACAUGCAGUAAUAGUGUAGGGAAUAAUGCCAUGUAAUUGCAAUAGUGCCUCUAAAAUAAUGUAGCAAACAAUAUAUUAAAGCAACAUAUGUUUAAUAUAUUACAUUUUUUUAAAGUAGCUGCCACCAGAUUUGCACACUGUUGGCAGUUUCUUAACCUGCUUCAUAUGUAAUGGUUUCCAGUUAACAAGUGAGCCUCGUCAGAAGUUAACUUGUGGGAUUUCUUGUCUUCUUAGUGGAUUGGAGGCCAUGUCCCGAGGUGGUGUUUGUAUACAACAAACAACUGUUUAUCUACUGUAUUAAUCCAUAAAAUGGUAAGAAGUGCUCAGCUAAAACAAAAAGGUCAGUCAGCCCAGAGCAUUUCAAAAACUUUGAAAGAUUUUUCAAGUGAAAAAAACAUCAAACAGUGUGAUGAAAAUGGCUGUUAUGUUUGGCUGUUUGACUGACAGAGAACCAGUUCGUUUCUCAUUUGAAUUCCAUAAAUAUGUUGGUUCAGAACUUAAAAUAUGGAUUUCCUCUGAGCCCCUGAUGCUUAUCUGAUCCAAACAGAAAUCAUGACAGCAUGAGUGGGUGUGUACAAAACUCAAAACACAACUUUUAAGGUCAAUAUUGGACAUAUGAGAUUCUAACAGAAGUUAAAAACUGAGAUUUGUGAAAUCUGCCAGCUACUGAACUUGAGUUAAUGCUGCAGUCAGAAUGUAUUGGUUCACUACAAGGCUUUUGUUUCUGUGGGUCUUGAGUGGAACUGCUGCUAAAUGAGGACCAAAGCAGUUCUCUGUCAGUUGAAAAGUCUUUAAAGGUACCAACCAGGGAACAGGAAACUAAGAGUUCACUCUGCUGCAGAGGAGAAGUUGACUAGACCGUCAGAAAUCAUCAAUUAGAGCUUACAUCCAGACUUCAAAGUGUUUAAGCAGUAGACGCUCUCAACAUCAACUAUUAAGAGAAAACUGAGAAUCAGACCUUCAUGGUGGAACUACUGCAAAGGAACUACUGAAGGACACCAUGAAGAAGAAGAGAACUGUGUGGAUCCAGAAGAACAAAGGUCUGAUAAGUCCAGAUUUGAGAUUUUUGGUUCCAGCCAUGGGGUUCUGGUGAGAUUCAGAAGAUGAACAGAUGGUAUCUGGUUGUGAUUCUGUAUAUGGAAGAAGAGCCACAUAUGGGACUGUUUGCUGGUUCAAGGCAACAAUUAACCAGCAUGGCUAUCAAAACAUUCUUGGAUAAUCAUUUGUCUUUAACAGAACAACGAUCCAAAACUCACUUCCAAGCUCUGUUUGACCAAAGAGCCGAGUGAUGGAGCUGCACCAGACGACCCAACCUCCACCGUCAUCAAACUAAACCCAGCUGAGACUGUUUGGGAGGAGUCGCAUCGCAGACUGAAGGAAAAGGUGGCAACGUUGUAGAAAAUGUAAAACAUAUUUUGAUUUGUUUAAUGUUCUUUUACCUAUGGCAUCAUCUGAUACGUGUUAUUUCACAGUUUUGAUAUCUUCAGUGUUGUUGUACAAAGCAGAAAUCCACUAAAACUGUUGAAUAAAUAAGAGUGCCGAAACUGUGCUUAGUAUUGUAUAUAAUACAGCAACAAGAAUAAGACUGAACAUCACAAAGCGCUACACAAACAGUGCAUUAGAAGCAAAUGCUAACAAGACAUUACAAACACUCAUUAAAAAACCAUAGAGUAGCUACACGGGAGAAGAAGGAAUUUAUUACAGAGUUGGGGAGCGAGAGAGAAGGUCCUUGAAACUGUGGAUUAAAGCUCUAAGAUUAGAUGGCAUGUGGUGACUUCAGCAGCACAGAGAGCAGUUGUACUGGUGUGUAUGUGUGUGUGUGUGUGUGUGUGUGUGUGUGUGUGAGAGAGAGAGAGAUUACCACCAGCAGCAGAAUGUGCAUUAGAGAUUGCUUCUGGUUCUCUUUGUAUACACCGUGUGUGUGUGUGUGUGUGUGUGUGUGUGUGUGUGUGUGUGUGUGUGUGUGUGUGUGUGUGUGUGUGUGUGUGUGUGUGUGUGUGUCUGUGUGUCUGUGUGUCUGUGUGUGUGUGUGUCUGUGUGUGUGUGUGUUGCAGGUGGAUUGUUAAUCCUAAUCCACUGGUGAAUGUACAUGUUAAGCACUGACAGGCCAUUAGUGGCUGUUUUGUGUUUGUGCAUGAGUGUGUGUGGGUUGUAUGUAAGUGUACAGUAUGAACACAUGCCCACAUUAACCAGUGUGUAGUUAAGACUGCACAUGAAUGCGCACGUGCAUGUGGAGAUGCGCUGGUUAGUGUGUACGUGUGUGAGAGGGUAAUCUGAGAGUGAAUAAGGGGUUAGAGGGCCAUUAACCAGUGCAUUAGCCCUGCCUGCAGACAGACUGGGGAACAGGACUGAGGAGAGAGCUGGUUCGUGUGUGUGUGUGUGUGUGUGUGUGUGUGUGUGUGUGUAGGAGAAGGACGACGGUUUGAGGAUUUCAGGGGGAAAGGGACAAUGGGGGUGAGGAUUUAGCAGUGAGGGUGAGGGGGAUUGAGUGCAUUAGUGAGUGCAUGUGUGUGUUGAAGGGAUUGAGGGGAGCUGACCCAUAAAAAGCAGACAGACACACCCUGAGCACAAGUCAGCCGUCCCACCAUCCUCGUUUCCAGGUAUUUCAAACAUAUCUAACUAAAAAUAUCUAAAUUGAGAUGUUUCUCUGUUGCCCAAAUGUGCUUUUUGACUGCUUUUUGUUUUCUAAAAUCCAAUAUUCUCAAUUGCAACCCAUAAAAUCCCACAAAACACAAUUUUGAGAAGUUUUAAAGCUGAUUGGAUCACUUGAUUAAAAUAGCAGUAAUUUCAGUCUCGCCUUCAAAUGUUUUUUUUUUCUUUUUUUAAUCAGUCACGCUAAAACAUAGCAACAAAACGAAACAAUGUGAUGAAGAAAAUAGCACACCUUUUGCUAGAGAUACCUUCUAGUAGUGGUGGGAAUCUUUGGGCACCUCACAAUUUGAUAAUGAUUACAAUUCAGGGCCUACAAUUCGAUAUUUAUUUUAUGCAUAUUGUAGAGUGUUGGGAUGGCCGUGUUGGUGAAAUAGCAUCAGGAUGGUGGGAUGGUGUAUCUGGCCUCCAGUGCAUGCAGCAGUGCUUACAUAUAACGUGGCUCUUGUCCGGUUUGAUUCUGCCGUCGAAGUUGUAGAAGCCAAAAUAUGUAAAACCCCUACCUUCUAGUGCUACGUGUCACUCCUUCAUUCCAUUUCCCACGGUUAUCCACAAUUCUUUUAUCUUUUAUUUGUUACUGUCCAUCAGACCCUCCCCGUGCCUCUUGUUGUCACACCUUUGCUGUUUGCAGUUGUGUGCCAGAUCACUUGAUUCAAUUACCUUUUGUUCUUUGUUGUAUUACCCUCUGUUACUGAUUAGCAACCAUACGCAAAUGAACCACUUUUCACCUUUGUAUGUACAUACAGCUCCCCGGCCACUAUUGCAGAUACUGAUUCUGAUACCGGUACUCCAGACUUACUUUUUCAGUAGUUGAUAGGUUUUGAACAAAGGUUAGUUGCUGUAUGUAGUCGUCCAUAUCUGGAAUGAAGAUGGGGUUGUAAAAAGGCAUCACAGUGCAGACUGCGGUAAAUGCUGCUCAGACGGCGCUAGUCUUUGUAAUUGGCAUAUAGGAGAGAAACUGAAACUAAAGUAUCCAUCUUAUUACACUGUUAUUGUUUAAUAUCAGUACCAACGCUAGUAUCGAUAUUAUUGAUAUAUGGAUCAAUCCACACACCUCUACUUUGAACUAAAGGUGAAGACAAAUUAAGUUAUUGAGCAAAUUUCCUUCGAGUUUCAACAACUUGAUUUAGUUUUAAAUCAACUAAUGUGAGAUUAAAUUACACACAAUAUUAAGUUACCAAUUAAAAUUAAAUUACCAACAUUAUUAUGUCAACACAACACAACACAACUGAAAAAAAUGUUAGCAACUUAAAAGUUUUACCUAAAACAAUAGUCGUGUUGCGUUACAGCACAGUUUGCAUUAUUUUACAGUAAAGUUUGCAGCAGUAAGGUGUGAUACGAACAGUUGGUGUGUUGCCUCAGUACGGUUUUAUUUUACUCAGCCAGCACUGACCAAAGCACAGACAUGUCUGACAGCAACAACAUAUCAUCCUAUAGCUGGAGCCACAGCAGAGGGUGACCAUUAGCUUAGCUUCUGGUUCUACCAACUGAGGCAAAACCUGCCUGUAUUUAACCAAUCAAGGGUGUGUUUUAUUGACUGCCAUUUUUUUUUAUCAAGAAGAAGUAGCAUAGGGUUCCUUUCAAUUUUUCUGAAGAGAGAGCUAUACCUAAAUGUAUAGUUGGUUAGAUGCUGUAAUUCCACGCAGUUCUGCUUUUCUAGAUAUCUUCAACUUUACAUAGUAGAUUAUGUUGCUGUAGAAAUUUGCCCUAGAGCACAGUAUGGAUGAAUAAGAGACAUGAGAGGGAUGGGACGGAGACUAAGAGAGAAAAAAAAAAGUAGUAGCCAUGGACAGAAAUAGACAGAUGGGGAAAGAGAAAGUGAGACACCAAAAGGCACUGACAGGGUGGAAAAAAGUGAGUCCUCCUAUAUCUCCUGUUUUCUAUUAUUCAUGAAUUGAAGAAGCAGUGGAGGGGAAGGAGGAGGAAGAGCUUGUAGCUUUGUGUCCUACCCUCAAGUGUAGUCUUCUUCUAUAGGACUCUCUGAAUAUUUUCUACCUGCCUCUAGUCUUUCAGUCUUUCUCACUUUCUCCACAAAGUUUUACAUAUCUAUUGUAUUUUAUUAUGUAGCUUAUUAUGAUGUCUGCAUUAUGAAGGGAGUUGUAUGAUGUAGUUGAUGUGAUUGACACCUUUAUGUACCAGUAAUUACAACACUUGGGAUUCAAAUCAUUCCUUUUGAUUAUUUUUCAACAUCAAUCUAAAGACACAAGGCUAGAGACACCUCAUAUUGUGGAAUAACGCUCUGUUCCAAGUCUAUAAUUUUAGUUAGUUGCAUAGUAGAAUUGCAGAUAUCAAUGAAACUUUGAGGGCUGCACAGUGGCGUAGUGGUUAGCACUUUCGCCUUGCAGCAAGAAGGUCCCUGGUUCGCGUCCCGGCUUUCCCGUGAUCUUUCUGCAUGGAGUUUGCAUGUUCUCCCUGUGCAUGCGUGGGUUCUCUCUGGGUACUCCAGCUUCCUCCCACAGUCCAAAAAUAUGCUGAGGUUAAUUGAUCAUUCUAAAUUGCCCGUAGGUGUGAAUGUGAGAGUGAUUGUUUGUCUCUGUAUGUAGCCCUGUGACAGACUGGUGACCUGUCUAGGGUGUCCCCUGCCUUCACCUGAGUCAGCUGGGAUAGACUCCAGCACCCCCCGCGACCCUAGUGAAAUAUGUUAAUGAAUGUGAAUACAGUGUAUUGUAAUCUUUGCAAAAGUUCCAAUCUGUUCUACUUUGAAAGAAAAAAAAAACAAUCUGAUAAGCAGACCUACUUGCUGUUUUAUUUCACUUCAUUAUUCACUGCGACAUAGUGCUCAUGUUAGCCAUUGUCAUUUUGGGAAAAGAGAGUUUUUUUUUUCACCAGUGAGUAGGAAGUGGCAAAUCUGUCCUGCUGAUAUUAUUUUCAGUCAGGGAUCUGUGUUAGUGGUUUGAGAAAGGUAUAUUUAAGUGCUUUAUUUAUGCACGUUAACUUUACACCCUGUGCUGCUGCAUUUAUCUGAUAGAGGUUUGUUGUAAAUAAAAUGACAAUACUGCUGUUGCUACGUCGAUAUAUAAUUGAGGGACUGUUGAAGUCCAUGGGACAUAUCUUGCAUAGAUUUUUAUUAAAAGUAAAAAAAAAAAAAACAGUGUUUUUUAUGUUCAUUAUGAUCAUAUCUUUACAAACUCCAUAAUUAUUUAUUAUGGAGACAAUCACUUAAUAAAAAAUGACUGGAUAUCACUAAAAUAUCAACUAAAUAACCGUAAGAAUUUUAUAAAAACCAUCUUCUAAUUAGCUAAACAAUAAUAAAAUGAGCUUAUUCAUAAACAGUUGUGUUCUUUUUAUAAAAUUGAGAUAAUCAUGACAGAUAUUUCUUUUUUGCCAAUGUAUCAAAUUUUAUAUGGAAAAUAACAAAUUGUAUCUGUGUCCUAGAAAUCACUUUCAACUAAGUUCCCCAUUACAAAAACACCUCUUAAGGAAGUGUGUUAAUUCCAGAUCAUAUGACCUGCUCAUCUUGUUUCUCUGUAGUCAUUUUGUUUCUUUUUUGAUCAUUUUUAGUCCGUUUUGUGGUCAUUUUGUGCCUUUUUGUGGCUGUUUUCAGUCUGUUCGUGAUACUUUUAGAUGUUUUUGUCAUCAUUUUGCAUUUUUUUGUCAUUAUUUUGUGUGUUUUUCAUCAUUUUGUGUCUUUAUAUGAUAGCUGGUGUUUGGUUAUAGGUUGCCAUGUUGAUUUUAGGCCUGAAAACAGCACAAAUGUGAACUAUGUUACAAAAAGUCCCUCAAUUAUAUUUUGACCCUGCUAUUUUUUCUUGAUGUCCGACUUCUCGUUUUCCACAUGUACACAGACAGCACAUAAAAAAACACCCGGGACAACCAAGCUGUCUAAAAAUCUUCUACUUUAUUCAGUAAAUGUUUUUGUAAAACAUUCAAUAAAAAAUGAUCUAUAAUUUAUUGCUCGUUGUCAUCUUUACACUAGGACUUUUGAUCUGAUGCAUAAUAUUAACUCCAAAGCACUCUCACAAGGAAUAUGUUGCUAGAUAUUUAGACAAGGUUUUAUGCUGUCAUCGUAAUAGUAAUAACGUACAUACAUACCUACGUUCAGAUUAUAUAAAAACAAACCAAACAAGUAAAGUUACAGUAGCUGGACAGAAAACAGACAAGGGACAGGCAGACUCAGAAAUCUUCUCGUGUACUUUUCAGUUUAGUAAUGGACAACAUUUGAUGCUUUUUAAGUUAACAGAGAAUUUAGAGGGACUCUCCAAAAGCUUGUAACGUGACGCUAAGAGCUUCAGUUCUUUGUCCUGUGGAAGUCUCACUUCAUACAUUUAUUAUCAAAUUACUCUGGAGUGUUACAUAAAAUCUAGUAAGUGGGCUAUAUUUGAAAGCAAUUCUCCGAUGCCAGUGUGUGAGCUAGUUAGGAACAUUGUUGAGGAUUCAUGCUGCGUAUACGCCAGUCAGCCAAAACAUCAAAAUCACCAGCUGGUAAACUGAAUAUCUUUACAACACAAUGUUCUUCUGAAAAACCUGGGGUCCUGGCUUUCAUGUGGAUGUUACUUUUGAUAUACUCCACUCAUGGUACGGUGACCAAAACCCCACACAGCACCCAAAGGAUCCUGUGUCCAUGCCCCAAUGGGUCAGAGCUGUUUUGGAGGCACAAUG